CUGAAUAAAUUUUGUAAUACGUAUUUCAUAAAUUUUUAAGAAUUAUUGAUUUCAUAAUUCAAUUUGCAAAUAAAAUUCGAUCGAUGUUACUAAUAUUAAUAAUCUUAAUGGAGGGAAACGAAAAGUCUAGGUUAUGUUUAGCGAAAGAUAAAGAUCGAUGAUGUAUAAUAAGAUAUAUUGAACACGAACUACGAAUUAUUGUAGCAUGAAUUUAUUAAAUAUGCGUUUAAGAUCGUGAUAUGAGACGAGUUUUCGUUUUGAGGUUAUGUAUAUACUUAUGACUUAAUAUUACAACAUUAUGACAGGAAGAUAUCUAUAUUAUAUUAAAAUGUUAACAUAUAAUGAUAUAUAAUACAUGAAAUAUUUAUAAUAUAUCGUGACUACGAACGAUUAUUCAAAAAAUUUUUUAAAUUAUUUUAUUUUUAAUCUUAACAAUUUUUUUUUAGUGAUAAAAUUCUAUAUAUUUGAAGAAAUAAUAUCAAAUAUGCAAAAUAACGAAGAUAGAGUUUGGUUUUAACAUACUUGACAAAUUGUGACAAAUAUUUUGAUUGGAAAUUGUAAAAAUUUUAUUUUUAACUGUUUUUAAUUAUCAUUUUUAAUAGAUCCAAAAGGAUGUUGAAUCACGUGAAGAAUCUUGUUAGAAGUUGUGAAACGAUUACUAUUAUGGAAAGAUUUUAUAAUAUUUUCUCUAAAUAGCCUUGCUAAACAUCCUUUGUUUUUGAUUCAAUCGUUCAUGUCUAUUAUUAAAAAAUUCACAAGUUUAUUUACGACGCAAAAAUUUUACAAAUAUUUUCCGAAAAAAGAAAAAUUAAACAAUUGUACAAAAACGAAUAUAAUAAUUUUUUAAAUAAUUUGCAGCAUCUCGAAAAUCUGUUUAAUAAAAUUAAAUCGCAAGAAAAUAAGAAAAGAAAUCACAAAAGAUCAAGGAAAUUCCAUUCUUAUUGUCCAUCAUCCAGAAAAUGAAUUUCAACUUUAUCCCAUUCGAUUCAUAAUAAAAUUGGAGCAAUCAUAAAAGGAAGAGAAUAAAAUAAAAAAGGGAAAAAAAAGAAUUUUUAAAAUAGAAAGAAAAAGAAUAUCACGGUCUGCCUCUGGCUGGUAGAAAAUGGAAGAUCUGCGAAAUAAUCCAUUGCACAGAUGGUCGAGAGAAGUGAAAGGAAGACGUUCAGGGAUGGAAUGGAAAAUAGACGGAAUGAAAUAUUUCUUUACGAUGGAGAAAUGGAUUAAUGGCCUGUUCCUGCGUGUCUCGAAUGAAAGUGGAGAUUAGAAUUUUUUUCUUUCUUUUUAUUUAUUUAUUUUUUUUUUGUUUUUUGUUAAGGCUAUAAGAGGAGACAGGAUGAGCCUCGAAUCUUGUAUCCACGAGAUGAUGAGAUUGAAAUGGUGUACAUAAAAACAAAAAAGAUUGGUCAUCGAAAAGGUUGUUAGUUUGAUGUAAAAGUGAAUGGCUGUUUAUGAUCAACUAUUACGAUUUGUAAUAUAUUAUAAAAGCUAUAAACAAUACUAUAAAACUCUCAAGUAAAAAUACGAUUUUAUAAGGCAUAGGAGAAGAUAGGAUUUUAAGCUUUGAUUUGUAUCCACGAUGGGAUUGAAAUGAAAUUCCAUAAAGAAGGAAAUUAUCCUUUAUUGACAGAAAAUCGUGCGAGUAAAUAUUGGCCAUCAAAAGAUUAAUUCGAUGUAUGAAAAUGAUAAGAUAAUUUUUGAUAGAAUAUUGGAAUAGAAAAAUUCCAGAUUAUUGGAAUUGAAUAAUCGUUAAGUUCUUAUCGAUGCAAUUUGUAAUGUGCACAAAAGCUGUAAAUAAAUUGGCGCGAUUAAUAUUCGAAAAUUUUUUGAAAAGAAUGAAUUGCUUGCGAAGUAAUGAACGAAAGAAACAGCGAAUGAAUCUUCCUUAGUUCCAAUUAAGAUUGCAAGCGGAAAGGAGAAUCGUUUUAAUUGCAUACGAUCGAGUUGAUUAAGCUUUCACGAUAAUUAUGUGCCAAGAUAAUCCUUGACGAUAAUUUUUAGUACGCUUUUGUCUUCAUCAUCAAGUUAAAACAAAGUUGAAAUUGUGCGAAAUAAGGACAAACCAAAAGAAGAAGGUCGAAACUUAUAUAUUUUUAACAAAAGAAUAGAAAGUGUGUCUACAGAAAGAA